GGGUUGUGAGGUUAAGCGACUAAGCGUACACGGUGGAUGCCCUGGCAGUCAGAGGCGAUGAAGGACGUGCUAAUCUGCGAAAAGCGUCGGUAAGGUGAUAUGAACCGUUACAGCCGGCGAUGUCCGAAUGGGGAAACCCAGUGUGAUUCGUCACACUAUCGUUAACUGAAUACAUAGGUUAACGAGGCGAACCGGGGGAACUGAAACAUCUAAGUACCCCGAGGAAAAGAAAUCAACCGAGAUUCCCCCAGUAGCGGCGAGCGAACGGGGAGCAGCCCAGAGUCUGAAUCAGCUUGUGUGUUAGUGGAACGGUCUGGAAAGUCCGACGGUACAGGGUGAUAGUCCCGUACACCAAAAUGCACAGGUUGUGAACUCGAAGAGUAGGGCGGGACACGUGGUAUCCUGUCUGAAUAUGGGGGGACCAUCCUCCAAGGCUAAAUACUCCUGACUGACCGAUAGUGAACCAGUACCGUGAGGGAAAGGCGAAAAGAACCCCGGCGAGGGGAGUGAAAAAGAACCUGAAACCGUGUACGUACAAGCAGUGGGAGCACCUUCGGGUGUGACUGCGUACCUUUUGUAUAAUGGGUCAGCGACUUAUAUUCUGUAGCAAGGUUAACCGUAUAGGGGAGCCGCAGGGAAACCGAGUCUUAACUGGGCGUUAAGUUGCAGGGUAUAGACCCGAAACCCGGUGAUCUAGCCAUGGGCAGGUUGAAGGUUGGGUAACACUAACUGGAGGACCGAACCGACUAAUGUUGAAAAAUUAGCGGAUGACUUGUGGCUGGGGGUGAAAGGCCAAUCAAACCGGGAGAUAGCUGGUUCUCCCCGAAAGCUAUUUAGGUAGCGCCUCGUGAACUCAUCUUCGGGGGUAGAGCACUGUUUCGGCUAGGGGGUCAUCCCGACUUACCAACCCGAUGCAAACUACGAAUACCGAAGAAUGUUAUCACGGGAGACACACGGCGGGUGCUAACGUCCGUCGUGAAGAGGGAAACAACCCAGACCGCCAGCUAAGGUCCCAAAGUCAUGGUUAAGUGGGAAACGAUGUGGGAAGGCACAGACAGCCAGGAUGUUGGCUUAGAAGCAGCCAUCAUUUAAAGAAAGCGUAAUAGCUCACUGGUCGAGUCGGCCUGCGCGGAAGAUGUAACGGGGCUAAACCAUGCACCGAAGCUGCGGCAGCGACACUAUGUGUUGUUGGGUAGGGGAGCGUUCUGUAAGCCUGCGAAGGUGGCCUGUGAGGGCUGCUGGAGGUAUCAGAAGUGCGAAUGCUGACAUAAGUAACGAUAAAGCGGGUGAAAAGCCCGCUCGCCGGAAGACCAAGGGUUCCUGUCCAACGUUAAUCGGGGCAGGGUGAGUCGACCCCUAAGGCGAGGCCGAAAGGCGUAGUCGAUGGGAAACAGGUUAAUAUUCCUGUACUUGGUGUUACUGCGAAGGGGGGACGGAGAAGGCUAUGUUAGCCGGGCGACGGUUGUCCCGGUUUAAGCAUGUAGGCGGAGGUUCCAGGUAAAUCCGGUACCUUUUAACGCUGAGGUGUGAUGACGAGGCACUACGGUGCUGAAGUAACAAAUGCCCUGCUUCCAGGAAAAGCCUCUAAGCAUCAGGUAACAUCAAAUCGUACCCCAAACCGACACAGGUGGUCAGGUAGAGAAUACCAAGGCGCUUGAGAGAACUCGGGUGAAGGAACUAGGCAAAAUGGUGCCGUAACUUCGGGAGAAGGCACGCUGGUGUGUAGGUGAAGUCCCUGCGGACGGAGCUGAGACCAGUCGAAGAUACCAGCUGGCUGCAACUGUUUAUUAAAAACACAGCACUGUGCAAACACGAAAGUGGACGUAUACGGUGUGACGCCUGCCCGGUGCCGGAAGGUUAAUUGAUGGGGUUAUCCGUAAGGAGAAGCUCUUGAUCGAAGCCCCGGUAAACGGCGGCCGUAACUAUAACGGUCCUAAGGUAGCGAAAUUCCUUGUCGGGUAAGUUCCGACCUGCACGAAUGGCGUAAUGAUGGCCAGGCUGUCUCCACCCGAGACUCAGUGAAAUUGAACUCGCUGUGAAGAUGCAGUGUACCCGCGGCAAGACGGAAAGACCCCGUGAACCUUUACUAUAGCUUGACACUGAACAUUGAGCCUUGAUGUGUAG
rnacentral:rRNA from 1 species